UACGAAGGGGGGCUAGCGUUGUUCGGAAUUACUGGGCGUAAAGCGCACGUAGGCGGAUUUGUAAGUCAGGGGUGAAAUCCCGGGGCUCAACCUCGGAACUGCCUUUGAUACUGCAAGUCUCGAGUCCGAUAGAGGUGAGUGGAAUUCCUAGUGUAGAGGUGAAAUUCGUAGAUAUUAGGAAGAACACCAGUGGCGAAGGCGCUCACUGGCCCGAUACUGACGCUGAGCACGAAAGCGUGGGGAGCAAACAGG
rnacentral:rRNA from 1 species